rnacentral:rRNA from 1 species
GAUAAACGCUGGCGGCGUGCCUUAUGCAUGCAAGUCGAACGAGGUUAGAAUUUCGGUUCGAAGCCUAGUGGCGGACGGGUGAGUAACACGUACGUGACCUGUCCAGAAGUGGGAAUAACCGGCCGAAAGGUUGGCUAAUACCGCAUGUGGUCACCCCUUGGAAGGGGAUGACGAAAGCCGAAAGGCGCUUCUGGAGGGGCGUGUGGCCGAUUAGCUAGUUGGUGUGGUAACGGCGCACCAAGGCGANGAUCGGUAGCUGGUCUGAGAGGAUGGUCAGCCACACUGGGACUGAGAUACGGCCCAGACUCCUACGGGAGGCAGCAGCAGGAAUUUGCGCAAUGGGCGAAAGCCUGACGCAGCAACGCCGCGUGGGGAU